GACGAACGCUGGCGGCGUGCCUAAUACAUGCAAGUCGAGCGAAGUUUUUCUGUUUCUUGCACCGGAAACACUUAGCGGCGAACGGGUGAGUAACACGUAAAGAACCUGCCUCAUAGACUGGGACAACUAUUGGAAACGAUAGCUAAUACCGGAUAAUAGCAUUAACUGCAUGGUUGAUGUUUAAAAGUUGGUUUUGCUAACACUAUGAGAUGGCUUUGCGGUGCAUUAGCUAGUUGGUGGGGUAAAGGCCUACCAAGGCGACGAUGCAUAGCCGACCUGAGAGGGUGAUCGGCCAAACUGGGACUGAGACACGGCCCAGACUCCGACGGGAGGCAGCAGUAGGGAAUCUUCCGCAAUGGGCGAAAGCAUGACGGAGCAACGCCGCGUGAGUGAAGAAGGAUUUCGGUUCGUAAAGCUCUGUUGUUAGGGAAGAAUGAUUGUGUAGUAACGAGACACAGUAGAGACGGUACCUAACCAGAAAGCCACGGCUAACUACGUG
rnacentral:rRNA from 1 species